rnacentral:lncRNA from 1 species
GUUAGCACUAAUCUUGACGUGUGUGAUUCUGUUAGCAGCCGAGUCCCGCGGAUGUUACGAGCGGGGCGUCCGGUGGAGUUGCCCAGUCCUGGAGUGCAUGGAUAAGGUAGUUAUCUAGUUGCAUGCAUGUAGCUAGUGGGUUAGUGGCCCGGUCAUGUGGUAGUGGCCGGUGUGGUGCAUGCGUGCUGUAGUUAGUGCUUGGGGUUAGUGGCCGAUCUGGGCGGCUGGGCUGGGCGUAAGUCUGUGUAUUAAAAGGGCCCCGGUGCUGUUGUGUAGAGGAGCCGUGAGAGCUGGCAGAAAAGAUGUAGCACUUGUGUGACCCAGGAGGAGAGCCUCUUGGCAAAGCUAGUUGGCUUCCUUCCCUGGUGUGUGUGUGCGUGUGUUUUUUCUGGGUUUCUUCCAUGGUGUGUGUUCUUGAGAGAACCAAGAGGAAGGGAGAGUUGUGUGAGGAAGAAGAAGCGGCGUUCCGAGGAGCGGCGGCGCCAACAUUUGGUAUCAGAGCUUGGUGUCUUGGGCGUGCUUGCCGUGCCGGAGGCGUGGCAGCGAUGGUGGCGCUCGCCGGCGGCUGCGCGAUGGAGCUCCGGGCCGUGUGUCGGCCCAUGGAGGUGGGCGGCGCUGUGGCUCUCAUGGCGCGUGGCGGAUGCGGCGGGCGGUGACGUCGUGCGUGCGGCGACCACGGAGGCCGCCGAGGCGCUGCGUGGUGGCGCGGCGGCGCAGCACGGCAUGGCGGCAUGGAGGCCGCAGCGGUGCAGGGCAAUAAGACGUGGCGGCGAGCCGGACGCGACCGGUGCGUGUUAUGGGCGCGCACUGGACGUGUCGAGCGCGUCGGGACCGCGGGAGUGGACCGCGUCGAGGCGCUGGACCUGGUUGCGCAGACCGCGUACGUGCGCGGCGGGAGCGCGGGCUGGGAGCGCGGGGACGUGGGGAGUGUGCGCGAAGGGCACGGCGGUCGCGGAGACGAGGAGGUCGCGAAAGACCUUCGUGGUGGCGCAAAGGUCGCGACGGCUCGGGGCGACAACCGUGGAAGGUGCGUGGCACGGAGGCGCGGCGUGGCGGCUGCCAUGGCGGACGCGGAGGCGACACGCGGUGAGCGUCUGGUGCUGUCGGGUUCGUCGGGCACGUCGGAUGCGUGCGGGACGUGCGGGACGCAGAGGGAUGCCAGGCGUGUGUCGCUGGUGGAGAUGGAGCUCGGCGUGUGUCGCCGGAGUCGUGACGGAGCACGGUGCGACCGGCGUCGUUGCGCCAGGUCGGGUCCGCAAGCUGGGUCACGCUCGUGACGACGAUAACGACGGCAGCUGCAACAACUUCGACGACGGCAAGGCGUGUCAAGAUUAAGGGGGGGAAUGUUAGCACUAAUCUUGACGUGUGUGAUUCUGUUAGCAGCCGAGUCCCGCGGAUGUUACGAGCGGGGCGUCCGGUGGAGUUGCCCAGUCCUGGAGUGCAUGGAUAAGGUAGUUAUCUAGUUGCAUGCAUGUAGCUAGUGGGUUAGUGGCCCGGUCAUGUGGUAGUGGCCGGUGUGGUGCAUGCGUGCUGUAGUUAGUGCUUGGGGUUAGUGGCCGAUCUGGGCGGCUGGGCUGGGCGUAAGUCUGUGUAUUAAAAGGGCCCCGGUGCUGUUGUGUAGAGGAGCCGUGAGAGCUGGCAGAAAAGAUGUAGCACUUGUGUGACCCAGGAGGAGAGCCUCUUGGCAAAGCUAGUUGGCUUCCUUCCCUGGUGUGUGUGUGCGUGUGUUUUUUCUGGGUUUCUUCCAUGGUGUGUGUUCUUGAGAGAACCAAGAGGAAGGGAGAGUUGUGUGAGGAAGAAGAAGCGGCGUUCCGAGGAGCGGCGGCGCCAACACCGCUACCUACAUGUGCUAUUUUCAAAUCAGCCCAGCAAGCACAUGACGUGCUUGCGUAUCCAGCGCGCACCCAAGGCCCACGUACACCGCUGGCAUAGCAGCCCACGGCACGCAUGUAUUUCAACUGAGCAGCUGCCGUAUUCCUCCAACGAAAAAAGCAUGCACACAUCGCCACGCUCUACUGCACGGCGCCAGAUUUCGGCCUGCACGAUGCUCGGCCACCAAAAC